UACCUAAAAUGGGUGUGCAAGUUGACAGU
rnacentral:piRNA from 1 species